UGGGGAAUCUUGCGCAAUGGGCGAAAGCCUGACGCAGCCAUGCCGCGUGAAUGAUGAAGGUCUUAGGAUUGUAAAAUUCUUUCAGCAGGGACGAUAAUGACGGUACCUGCAGAAGAAGCCCCGGCUAACUUCGUGCCAGCAGCCGCGGUAAUACGAAGGGGGCUAGCGUUGCUCGGAAUUACUGGGCGUAAAGGGAGCGUAGGCGGGUCGUCAAGUUGGGGGUGAAAGCCCAGGGCUCAACCCUGGAACUGCCUUCAAAACUGGCGACCUAGAGUAUGGUAGAGGUGUGUGGAACUCCGAGUGUAGAGGUGAAAUUCGUAGAUAUUCGGAAGAACACCAGUGGCGAAGGCGACACACUGGGCCAUUACUGACGCUGAGGCUCGAAAGCGUGGGGAGCAAACAG
rnacentral:rRNA from 1 species